rnacentral:lncRNA from 1 species
CUUCAUUGGGUAACAAAGUUCUUCCCAAGCAUUCUCUUGCAUUCCACCCGGGGAACAAGACAGCACCGGGUUUCACACUGGCAAGGCAGGAGGCUGUGUGCUGCCAGAACGACCAGCAGGGGGCGCAAAGGCCACGCCAGGCACCUGCUGGCCUCAGAGAAAACAGAAAGGGAACCAGGAAGCCCACUCCUGCUGUCCUUUCUCUGCAAGGAAAUGUGCCAGGGCACUGCAGCCCAGACAGUCGGCAGUAGAGGACCCAUGAAGGUCAUUAUCACUGCUUUUCCCUCCUCUUAUUGAAGCUCUUCCCUCUGCAGCCCUGGAAGCCUGAUCCUACCUACAGAUGUCAGCGAAAUCUCCCUCCCUCAGGGUCCCUGUCUAGUUUGUUUUUGACCCGGCCACAAAUACUAGGACAGAAAAAUAAUGGACGGCACAAAGUAUCUUUGUGCAAAGAAAGCAGCAAAGAGAAUUAAGAGAAUUGCAUCAUAUAAAGAGUGAAUUAAACCAUCUAAAGGAGCAAAAAUUCAUCAUCACAUGGACAAGAAAUUAAGACGUAACAUCCAUCUCACUAUUUGCAAAGUGGCUUAUUCCUACAGACAAUGCAGAUAUGUAAAAAGCAGCUGGAAACCUAGGAGCAGAAGCCCAGCAUAAAGAUCUCUGAAAGCCUGGAUGCGUGGAUUCCUCUCUUACUUCCCAAAACGGUGGGGUGGAAAUGUGAAUAUCAGCAUGAUGCACAGAUCUCUGCAGAUGUCCAGCGAACUGAAUUUCUAGACGCUAUAAUCUAUGUUCUUUCCCAACCCCCACUUCAGUUUACAUAUCGCAGGCCAUAGAUCCUGUUUGUUGAAAAGCGAUCAGCUAGAAAACAAGAGUGGUUAUAACCUGUGCUGCCCAGUGAUCAGGAAAAGAGAGCGGAUGAAACUUCCAUGACUUUCUGUUAGUCUGAUUAAUAUCCAUGCCAAAUGUAAGAUUAGUUAAAAGGCCUUAUUGCUUCCCACCAAAAUGUUCCUUCACUAGCUAUAUACUACACUGAAAUGUAAAGUUAUGGGUAUGUUUAACAGUUUAAUUUGUCAGUGGGCAUCCAACUCUUCUAUUUGUGUUUUUACUUUGAGCUUAAUUGGAGCAGACAAAUAGAGGUGACCUCUAACUGUUUUCUUCCUGAAGCCAUUUUCAGGGCAGAAGUGCUUUACCCACUUCAUUGAGAAACCACCUUUGCAUGCAGUACCCUGAGCUGUCUUCAGCACACCAAGCAUCCACAACAUGGGAAAUACCGUGCUUUAAAUGUUGCUUUAAUCACAGUGCUCAUGAGUAAGGGCAUGUCCUGUCUCUUAUCCAUGAAAACACUCCCACAAAAUGAAGUCACACCCAGUAUCUGUUAACGGAGAUACUGAGUGGGUGAAGAAGACUCAUUCCCUAAUGCAAUUCAGGUCACACAGGGUAAAAAAGAAAAAAAAAUCCUUUUCUGUUGAGGAUACAGAUGGAGAGAAAAUGGAAAAUGCCUUUCAGGAAGCACAAGCCUAGUUUUCUAAUUGUGUUUCAGUGAACACGCAGGUGAACUUACCUGUGUGGCUUGGUAUUGUGGUGGGUUUUCAGCUUCUUCUCCACCAAAUCCUUUGAAAAGCAGCAGUGGCAGAAACAAAUAACCCAAUUAAAAACAAUAAUAGCAACAAUAAAAAAAGAAAAGAUGAAGAAAGCAGUGGUUUUCUUUGGCUAGCUGAGGAACUUUCUACUAGGCGUUAGCAAUCUCUUUGUAAACUUUUUUCUUUACAGCAAAUGCUUCAUUCUCUAGACACAUGUCAAGAAUUUUCAAGCAUCGCCAGACUCAAUUCUUCACCCCCAUGUUAACAAUUAAAGAAUCAGCCGAAUGCCUGUGUUUAAGAAUCAAGCCCCUGAAACCUGUGAUUUGUACGUUACUCACACCCUCUAGUCCUAUUAGCAAGAGAUGCUGGGAGAACUUCUUGGUCAUCAAUUUGAUGAGUUCCAAGGGGAAUGUGGGUUUUGGUUGUGAUGUUCAUACACAUAGAAAUCUGGCUGAACACACGUACCUAAGAGUCUUCCAUCUUUCCUUGCUUGCUCUACAGAAAAUAAAGACAGAGGGUGUGUAAAAUAUCAUGUAUAUAUUAUACAAAGACCUCUUGAAAAGGUAAUAAAUUCUGGUGAUUCGG